CCUCCCAAAGUGCUGGGAUUACAGGCAUGAGCCACCGCGCCCGGCCUACUGCACUGUUUUACGUGCUACAGAUGUAUCAAGCAAUUUAACCCCAAUUCCUACUGUGCUUAAAAUAAAUAAGACGUGCCUAUAGCUUCAACUCUGGAGAGAUAACAGUGGGGUUGAUGUAGAAAUCUUGCCUAAAUGCUCCCUACCAUGAAUGACCACAUGUUCCAGCAUGGUAUGCCAAGGAAGUGAAGUCUGAAAGCCCUGCUUGGAGAAAACAUGUAGCUUCUACUUUCAAUCUUGGAAUCCAGUCUCCACAAAAAGAAGUCCAGGCUAGCCUGCGGAGACAGAGAACAUGUGGAGAGAAAGAUCAUAGUGAAUGAACUACCAUAUGGAGAGUGAAGCCACAUGGAAGAGAACCACAUUGCCCCAGUUUGACAGUAACAGCAAAGCUCCAUUUAUUGAGAAUGAAGCAAUCUUUGAUCUCUUAGCCCUAAUCAAGUCACCCCAGCUGACAUCACAUGGAGUAGAGACAAGCCAUCCCCACUGAGCCCCAAAUAUCCAACCAACAAAACUCACUGAAUGGAUCCCCAGUGUCUAACUGUGUAAAACAGCUGAGACGUCACUGCUUUCCAAUCUCUUGAAGGACAAGUGCUCAUCUUGGCUCACCUUGGAACCCACUUCAGAACCCAGGGGAAGUGUUAUGCAGGAAUUAUAAUAUGGGUCUUCUGUCAGAGCUCUACAGCUCCUAAACCAAGGUAUCACAUAUCUUCAAGACUGCUGAAUACUGGAAGCAAAAAAAAACCCCACGAAUUUUGCAGGUAUUUAUGAGAAU
rnacentral:lncRNA from 1 species